UACGUAGGAUCCAAGCGUUGUCCGGAUUUACUGGGUGUAAAGGGUGCGCAGGCGGACUGGUUAGUCUGGGGUGAAAUCUCAUCGCUUAACGGUGAAGCUGCCUUAGAUACUGCCAGUCUUGAAUCAGCGAGGGGUUCGUGGAAUUCCGAGUGUAGCAGUGAAAUGUGUAGAUAUUCGGAAGAACACCAGUGGCGAAGGCAGCGAACUGGCGCUCGAUUGACGCUCAGGCACGAAAGCAUGGGGAUCAAACAGG
rnacentral:rRNA from 1 species